rnacentral:rRNA from 1 species
GAUGAACGCUGGCGGCGUGCCUAAUACAUGCAAGUCGAACGAAUCACUUCGGUGGUUAGUGGCGAGCGGGUGAGUAACACGUAGGUAAUCUGCCCUUCAGACGAGGAUAACGGUUGGAAACGACCGCUAAUACUGGAUAGUACAUCUUGUCGCAUGACGAGGUGUUUAAAGUUCCGUUUGGAACACUGAAGGAGGAGCCUGCGGCGCAUUAGUUAGUUGGCGGGGUAACAGCACACCAAGACGAUGAUGCGGAGCCGGACUGAGAGGUUGAACGGCCACAUUGGGACUGAGACACGGCCCAGACUCCUACGGGAGGCAGCAGUAGGGAAUUUUCGGCAAUGGGGGAAACCCUGACCGAGCAACGCCGCGUGAAUGAUGAAGUAUUUCGGUAUGUAAAAUUCUUUUAUAGAGGACGAAUGUUACUAAUAGGAAAUGAUUAGUAAGUGACGGUACUUUAUGAAUAAGCCCCGGCUAACUAUGUGCCAGCCGCCGCGGUAAAAC